rnacentral:rRNA from 1 species
UUCCGGUUGAUCCGCCGGACCUGACUGCUAUCGGAUUGAUACUAAGCCAUGCGAGUCAUUGUAGCAAUACAAGGCAUACGGCUCAGUAACGCGUAGUCAACCUAACCUAUGGACGGGAAUAACCUCGGGAAACUGAGAAUAAUGCCCGAUAGAACACUAUACCUGGAAUGGUUUGUGUUCCAAAUGAUUUAUCGCCAUAGGAUGGGACUGCGGCCUAUCAGUUUGUUGGUGAGGUAAUGGCCCACCAAGACUAUUACAGGUACGGGCUCUGAGAGGAGUAGCCCGGAGAUGGGUACUGAGACACGGACCCAGGCCCUAUGGGGCGCAGCAGGCGAGAAAACUUUGCAAUGUGCGAAAGCACGACAAGGUUAAUCCGAGUGAUUUGUGCUAAACGAAUCUUUUGUUAGUCCUAGAAACACUAACGAAUAAGGGGUGGGCAAGUUCUGGUGUCAGCCGCCGCGGUAAAACCAGCACCUCAAGUGGUCAGGAUGAUUAUUGGGCCUAAAGCAUCCGUAGCCGGCUCUGUAAGUUUUCGGUUAAAUCUGUACGCUUAACGUACAGGCUGCCGGGAAUACUGCAGAGCUAGGGAGUGGGAGAGGUAGACGGUACUCGGUAGGAAGUGGUAAAAUGCUUUGAUCUAUCGAUGACCACCUGUGGCGAAGGCGGUCUACCAGAACACGUCGACGGUGAGGGAUGAAAGCUGGGGGAGCAAACCGGAUUAGAUACCCGGGUAGUCCCAGCUGUAAACUAUGCAAACUCAGUGAUGCAUUGGCUUGUGGCCAAUGCAGUGCUGCAGGGAAGCCGUUAAGUUUGCCGCCUGGGAAGUACGUACGCAAGUAUGAAACUUAAAGGAAUUGGCGGGGGAGCACCACAAGGGGUGAAGCCUGCGGUUCAAUUGGAUUCAACGCCGGG